rnacentral:rRNA from 1 species
CAGCCGCCGCGGUAAUACGAAGGGGGCUAGCGUUGUUCGGAAUUACUGGGCGUAAAGCGCACGUAGGCGGAUAUUUAAGUCAGGGGUGAAAUCCCGCAGCUCAACUGCGGAACUGCCUUUGAUACUGGGUAUCUUGAGUAUGGAAGAGGUUAGUGGAAUUGCGAGUGUAGAGGUGAAAUUCGUAGAUAUUCGCAGGAACACCAGUGGCGAAGGCGGCUAACUGGUCCAUAACUGACGCUGAGGUGCGAAAGCGUGGGGAGCAAACAGGAUUAGAUACCCCCGUAGUCCCUGUCUCUUAUAA